GGGGGUGCGCGCGGUAACGUGGGUAAAUACGGUGGGGCGGUGGGGAGCUCCAGCCCCGCCCGCAACGGCAGCGGCGCGAGAGGAGCCCGCAGGCGGCCGUUGGGCAGCGGGAGGAGCCGCUAAGCGUAGGCUGUGAGGGGCGGGGGGACGCGGAGCGGCGGUAUUCGGCAGCCUGGUUUGACACGAGGAGGUUCUCGCCUCUCCUUUGGAGAAGAGGGCUGGCUGGCUGGCUGACUGAGAUCCCCCGAACUGCGGGAGGCUGGCGGCCGGCAGCCGCCUUCACACCGAAGCCAGACUCUGGCCCCGAAGCACCUAUUGCCUCACCCGGCCCUUUAGCAGCGGAGCGCCUCUUAACCUUUCAACUCUCCCUGCCAGCCGCAAGCGUUGCAGUAAGCGUUCUCCGGAGAGAACACCGCGAAACUGCCCAGGCAGCACACGUUGUAAAUGCUAGUGCCUGGAGGAGCCAGUCAGGACUACGGACUUGUUGCUGUGGACAUUGGUUCCAGAUUCAUGCCUGGAUAGACUGAUGGAGCACGUGUCACAUGGCUGAAUCAUUGACACUGCCAAUGCUUUGUAGACUGAGUCAUGCUGAUUGUCAGCAAGGGGAACGAGGAAGAGACUGAGAGUGAUCCUACUCCUGAGAGCUUUUGGCUGAAAAAAGAAAAAAUGUGUAUAUAUCGAAGGAACAGAAAGAGUACCAGUGCUGCUGAUGAUAUCAGUGCUGCUGAUGACAUCAGUGCUGCUCACCAUCUGUGGAAAACUGCAUAGUCUAAAUAUCUACUGACAAUUUAAGGUGCUUCAGAAUACUGAGCUUCCAAUGCACUGACCCGGCUUGUGGUGUCACCUCACAGUAGCAUUAGGAAUUGAUGGUCAAGGCAGGCACACCUGGCUGCCUGGACUUGAGAAACUCUUCGUGGGCAAUUACAUCUGCCACCAAGGAGCCAUACUGGCAUGCUUCGAAGUACUGACGUGUUUUGGAGCGAACAGCCUAGAAUUACACAGACCAGAAUGAGUUAAUAAACUGAAUAUUAUGUUACUAGAUUACUAAAAUUAUUAAUGCGUGUAUGUUGUUCUCUGCAAAUGAAAAGCUUCUCCUAAGUGCUAAGAAUUUAUUCUGGGUGUAUUUUUAAUAUAAUAAAAUCCUAGUCCUGUUUUACUCUA